rnacentral:rRNA from 1 species
AUUGAACGCUGGCGGCAGGCCUAACACAUGCAAGUCGAGCGGAACGGCGGACGGGUGAGUAAGGGCUAGGAAUCUGCAUGGGAGUGGGGGAUAACGCAAGGAAUCGGGAGCCAAUACUGCAUACUCGCAGUGGAGUCUAGGUCGGAUGAGCUAGUGGGUGGGGUAAAGGCUUACCAAGGCAACGAUCCGUAAGUGGUCUGAGAGGAUGAUCAGUCACACUGGAACUGAGACACGGUCCAGACUCCUACGGGAGGCAGCAGUGGGGAAUAUUGGACAAUGGGCGAAAGCCUGAUCCAGCCAUGCCGCGUGUGUGAAGAAGGUCUUCGGAUUGUAAAGCACUUUAAGUUGGGAGGCGUUACCAACAGAAUAAGCACCGGCUAACUUCGUGCCAGCAGCCGCGGUAAUUC